rnacentral:rRNA from 1 species
CAGUCGCCGCGGGAAUACGAAGGGGGCUAGCGUUGUUCGGAAUUACUGGGCGUAAAGCGCACGUAGGCGGAUAUUUAAGUCAGGGGUGAAAUCCCAAGGCUCAACCUUGGAACUGCCUUUGAUACUGGAAGUCUUGAGUUCGGGAGAGGUGAGUGGAACUGCGAGUGUAGAGGUGAAAUUCGUAGAUAUUCGCAAGAACACCAGUGGCGAAGGCGGCUCACUGGCCCGAUACUGACGCUGAGGUGCGAAAGCGUGGGGAGCAAACAGGAUUAGAUACCCCUGUAGUCCCUGUCUCUUAUAC